AGUUCAACAACCUUUUUCACCAAGCUUAUACCUGAAUGGGUUGAUGCAUGUAGAUAUGAUAUGUAAUUUUAGUAAGACGGGAACAUGACGAUUGAUGUUUCAAGUGAUGAUAAUGCAUAGGGACUGGAGAUGUGGUUUGAGGCGGCAGUUAACCGUGCAAUUUUCAUGAAGAAUGAUUGCGUACAUUUUUACUCAAUACUCGUUUCUUGUGAUGCAUUAGGUUUUAAUUUUCUUGCUGCUAUGUGUGUGGAUCAAUCCUUACUCUUUUUUCAUGCCGCUUGUGGUCUGAGUCCUUAUCUCUGCUUGGGGUGACGCUGCAAGAUCAGACGGAAACCAGACUUCUUAUGGUUCUGAGAAUUUUACAUGGAUCAGGAAAUUCUAAUGUUUGACUUUGUAGUACCCAGAUUACCAAGAUAAAUUGAGGAUGCAUGACUUAGAUUUUGAUUGCAAGGCCAAGAAGAUUUUGAUUCCAAGGCAAAUAGUUUGGCUACAAGUCAAUUAGAAUGUAACUUUUAGUAUCAAUGUUUCAAACAUUAUAGUUGAUGGCAAGGUCAAGAAUUGGCCUACUACUAGAUAGUUUCACCUCUUGUAAUCUUUGGACCAUGUUCUUUGUAAUGCCACAUA